rnacentral:lncRNA from 1 species
GCAAUCAUCAGUCAAUUCUCAUCCUCCAUUACUUACAACUUCAUUUGCUAAGUACAAUUGUAAUGACUAUCCAUAAAUAUAUUUCUCAUGAUCCACGUGCUAAGAAGAAAAUUCUACCUCUAAUGCCUCGCCGGAGCCUCAACAUCCAAUCACCGAAUCACCACCGACAACCUCCCUAUACGAUGGCCAAAAAGUCAAGCUUGACGCCACAGUACCCCCAAACAUACCGAUCUACUUGAAUUUUUACCAAGACUCCUUAU